ACUCCUACGGGAGGCAGCAGGCGCGCAAAUUACCCAUUCCCGACACGGGGAGGUAGUGACGAAAAAUAACAAUACAGGUCUCUUUCGAGGCCCUGUAAUUGGAAUGAGCGUAUCCUAAACCCAUGGGCGAGGACCCAUUGGAGGGCAAGUCUGGUGCCAGCAGCCGCGGUAAUACA
rnacentral:rRNA from 1 species